rnacentral:lncRNA from 1 species
AGCUGAGUCAUGAAGUAGUCAGGGAACUUGUCCCAGGGCACACAGGGUGUGAGCAAUGUCCCUGAGUCCAAUGUGGGGUGGCCAAUGAGUGCAGCUAGCAGGUCCUGUUUUUUGUUUUUUGUUUUGUUUGUUUGUUGUUGUUUUUUGUUUAUUUAUUUAUUUAUUUAUUUUGAGACAGGGUCUCCUUCUGUCUCAUCCAGGCUGGAGAGCAGUGGUGCAAUCAUGGUUCAACCUCCCAGGCUCAAGUGAUCCUCCCACCUCAGUGUCCUGAGUAGCUGGGACUAUAGGCGCAUGCCACCACACCUGCUAAUUUUUUGUAUUUUUAGUAGAGAUGGAGUUCACCACAUUGCCCAGACUGGUCUUGAACUUCUGGGCUCAAGGGAUCCUCCCACCUUGGCCUGCCCAGCCUAGCAAGUCCUUUCUAAACCAAUGAGUCAGUGCCAGUCUCCCAUAGUCCCUGUAAAUCUUGCCACACCCUUCAAGUAUCAUCCACUAUGCAGCCACCUUGCUGGACAAAGGGUGCCCUCUGAGAUCCUGAGAAAAGGCCACAAUGACUUCUGGCUGGCAACUCCAUCAUGCCUUUUAUUCAAAGGCUGCAGUGGCUAAUACAAAGAGAGGCCAGCAGGGUAGUAAACAAUCCCUAAAUUGAGAGCCUGGGAACUCAGAGAGCCUGACCAGCAUCUUGCCCUAAGCAGUCCUGCCCUGUGCUCCAACCUAAUGGGAUCUCUGAAUUCUCCUUGGGCUUUCCAGGCAGCAGAGGAACUUGGCAGGCAGUCUGUAGGUUUCUCAAGCUUGCAGUAAAAUGCUGAGAUUCUGGCCAGUAAUUUCCCCUUCAGACCUAACCUGCCUUGCCCAAUGACUAGGCUUUUGGAAACUUUGAUUCAAGAAAUAGAGCGGUUGGUAAUAAUCUCUGAUGAUCAGUCCGAGCUUGGCAUUUUCAUUUCACCUCAAUGUGCCCAGGUGAAAUGAUGUUAAUGGGAAGGAAAAGGGGAAAAUUAUGAUUUCAAGAACAGUCAUGAUGAGAACAGACAUAUGCCAGCGAACAAAAUCCUGUGCCUUUUGUGAGCCUGACAGCUGCCUUCAGUCCUGCUGGUCUGACCCCUGUAGUGACAUCAGGAAGAGUCCAGAAAGCAUCAGCAUUCCACUCCCACUUUCCCAGUGCAGCCAGGAAAAGGCCUAGUCACCAAGGAGGGCCUGCUUCCAGUUCUGUUUUUCCCAAGUCACUCACUGACAGGAGCUGAGGCCCAUAAUCAGAGGAAGCAAAAACGCUUCUCCCCUUAUUGCCAAGGGAAUCGCCAGGGGAUGCAGAGUGGCUCCAGGAGGAAAAUUAUGCUGAGCUGAGGCUUAGCCAUGGAGGAAGGCCCAAGGGCAUCAUCUAUGAACGUGUACGGGGUCACCUAGGCUUUUACAUGUGUACGAUGCUCGGUGUUUUGUUGUUGGGGGAUUUUAUAAUUACCCAAAUUACCUUGCUUCAACCUAUUUAGCAAUUCAUUUAAAGGAACUCUCCUAAUACGUGAAAGACCAGAAAAGACAGCUGAUUAGAAAUUCCAAUGGCCGGGUAUGGUGGCUCACACCUGUAAUCCCAGCACAUUGGGAGGCCAAGGAGGGAGAAUCACUUGAGGUCUGGAGUUCAAGUCCAGCCUGGCCAACAUGGUGAAACCCUGUCUCUACUAAAAAUACAAAAACAUUAACUGGGGGUGUUGGUGCAUGCCUGUAGGCCCAGCUACUUGGGAGGCGGAGGUGGGAGAAUUUCUUGAACCUGGAAAGCAGAGGCUGUAGUGAGCUGAGAUGGCACCACUGCACUCCAGCCUUCCAGCCUGGGUGACAGAGCAAGACUCCAUCUCAAAAAAAAAAAAAAAAAAAGAAAGAAAAGAAAAGAAAGAGAGAGAAAAGAAAAAUCUAAUAGGGGACACAGGAAUUUUCUUUUAUUUGCCUAAGAACAAAAGACAAGGAAACAUUAUAAUAAUCAAAAUAAUCCCAGAAAAGGUAGUGGAAAAAUGGACUGGACCAAGAUGAUAUUGAAGGACCUUCCCAAUAACUGAACUGCAUUCAAGGUACUUAGUCUCUUGAAUGUGAGCCAGUGGCCCCUCCAUGGUAAAUAUAAAGUUUGGGGGUCUGUGAAUCCACAGAUGCUCCAGAUUACAUAUGGGGAAAGAGAGAGUCGCUUAGUAAGGCAACAAAGGUGAAUAAUUGUUCAAAAUAUCUAGUGGCAUCUUCAGUCAUGGUCGUUUGGCAUGGAGGCAAGCGGAGUGGGAUUUUCAAUCUCUUUCCUCUCUUCUAAAUGGAAAUUAAGCUAACAGUAUUCAAGGGAAGAAAUGUUCACAGACUCUGAGGACCUAACGUGGCAAAAGUUAGACUCAGAAUUUCCCACAGCCAAGUUUGUGGUAGUGGAAGCUUCUGGUAAAGUAGGCCUUGGGUUUUACAAAGUCAGGUACCCCUUACUAGAGGAAAGCAACAUUGGGAAUUAUCCAGAUCAUCCAGAAGACAAAGGCAAAACUAUGUGGUUGUCACAUCACUGCUGAUGACCUUUAAUGAAUUCUCCAAUUUACCUACCUGGGAGAGGCUUUGCAUGGAUUAGUCAAGCCACACAAUCACUACCUAACCCUCCCUGAUGGAAGGAACUGAGCCUCCCUUUAAAUGAGUGUGAAUUUCUGAAGGGCAAGGCCUGGGUCACUUGCCUUCAGCACACGGCCCAUGCUCAGAGUCUGUUAGCUGAAAGGAAAAAGGGAAGUGGAGGCUGCCAGGAAUACUCAACCUCCCCCACUCUUCCUCUUGCCACCUUACUUUCAUCUUGCUCCCUACUCACAGAUGACUCCGGGGCCUUGUUCCUCAAAACCAUAUUACCUACCAUUGGGAUUUGGUUUGUGUCACAAUUUUUCAGAUAAUCAUAUCCAAGAGACCUCCAAAGUAAAAGGUUAGUGGCAAACACAGAUGUGGAAUAAAUUGU